GUGCCAGCCGCCGCGGUAAUACGGAGGAUGCAAGCGUUAUCCGGAAUGAUUGGGCGUAAAGCGUCCGCAGGUGGCAUUUCAAGUCUGCGGUCAAAGGUCGAGGCUCAACCUCGAACAGGCCGUGGAAACUGAAAAGCUAGAGUGUGGUAGGGGCAGAGGGAAUUCCCAGUGUAGCGGUGAAAUGCGUAGAGAUUGGGAAGAACACCGGUGGCGAAAGCGCUCUGCUAGGCCAAGACUGACACUGAGGGACGAAAGCUAGGGGAGCGAAUGGGAUUAGAUACCCCAGUAGUCCUAGCCGUAAACGAUGGAUACUAGGUGUAGCUUGUAUCGACCCAAGCUGUGCCGUAGCUAACGCGUUAAGUAUCCCGCCUGGGGAGUACGCGCGCAAGCGUGAA
rnacentral:rRNA from 1 species